AGUUUGUCCAUAUAAAUAUUUAAAACAAUUUCUGAAUAUUUUUGUGACAAGAUACUACUAUAUUUAACUGGAAAGAGAAAAAAAUAAGGUAAAACUUUAAAAGCUUCACAUAAGUUUUACAUAUAAAAUAUGGAAUGGAGUCCCAGGGGGAAAAAGAAAUUUUCUAAAAAUAUUUUUUUUCUAAAUCACAUUUCUUGAUUUAAAGUGUCAAUAGUAGUAAAGUACUUUCAUUAUAAUAAAUGAUGCAUGUCUCCAUAUUUAGACUUCAGAGGUGUUACAUAGUCAAUAAUGGCAGGUUCAAAAUGGUUCCUGGUAUAAUAACUGCAUUUGUUCCACAAUUAGGGAGACUGUAUAGUAGCAUUUUUACUACAUGCAAUUAAUAAUUUUUCUUUUUCUCUUUUUGCAUUUUUUAAAAGCAAUUAAGUCUUUCUCCUCACCUCUAAAUCAUUAGUGUGGUAGAUGUGCCAGAUGUAGUCACAGUAUCUGCAUUCAACUUCCAUUCAACAUUCAAUAAACAUUUACUGAGCACUUAUAUGCUAGGCUGAGCUUGGUCCAGGGGAUAUAAAAAUAAAAUAAUAAUUGUCUGUUUGCAGGAACUUUGCACUGAACAAAGCACUCAAAAUAAAAAUGUAAAUACACUCUGGUGGUGUUGUCUACCUGCAAUAAUUGGGCUAAGCACCCACUUUCAUAUAAAGGCAACAUUUAAUGCAGAAGUGAGGGACGGUGAUCAGAGAAUGUGUCUUAGACAUGCUGAUGCCCCUGGUUAGUCCUGAAGGACAAGUAGGAAUAAGAUUAGUGGGUGUAGUGUGGUCAUUACUCCUGUAGGUUUGUUCACAGAGAUAUGGGCCCCUCUGUGACUGGUCUUCUGUCUUGGUCAGUGACAGUGAGGGGGAUGAGACUAAGGGAUACUUGAAGGAGACACAGGUUUCUUCUCAGUGCUGGUAUCCCCUACAUCUCAGCUGCUCUUUUAUGAAGUUUCUAGUUUCCCAACUAAAGGAUUGGGUUUUGGAGAAUACCUAAUGAUAAGCAAUUCAUAAUUGUCCUUUGUUAAUUCUUUCUUUUUCAUUUAGACAUUUUAGUUUGUGUACUGAGCAAGUUUAAUAUUUAAGUUUUGACUUUCUCUUUGUAAUCCCACACAUCUCAGCACAGGUUACUGGUGGAAGAAUAAUGUUGGUUUCUAAGUUAUAAAGAUUCCCUGUUUUAACAUGGAGUGUUCUAAGUCCACUGUACUAUUCUCCAAAUAGUACCAUGUACAUUUUCUUAGUUUUGAAACUGACUGAGAGUAACAUGCAAAAUACAAAUGUUAAGUUCUUGAAAAUUUAUGUGAUAUCAAAUUUUAGGACAUAGGACUAUUGUAAGAUGCAAUAGAGACAUUUGGUAUUUUAAAUAUCUUUUUGAAUCUAUGGUAUGUUGUAGAAUGAAUAUGCUAAAACUUAUGUGUUUUUAAGGGUUUAACUUGUUAUGUACACCAAGAUAUAACUGGCUGAAAAUUUUAUUUAUCAUGCAUGGGAAGC
rnacentral:lncRNA from 1 species